rnacentral:rRNA from 1 species
UACGGGGGGGGCAAGCGUUGUUCGGAAUUACUGGGCGUAAAGGGCUCGUAGGCGGCCAACUAAGUCAGACGUGAAAUCCCUCGGCUUAACCGGGGAACUGCGUCUGAUACUGGAUGGCUUGAGAUUGGGAGAGGGAUGCGGAAUUCCAGGUGUAGCGGUGAAAUGCGCAGAUAUCAGGAGGAACACCAAUGGCGAAGGCAGCUCGCUGGAACGGUACUGACGCUGAGGCGCGAAAGCGUGGGGAGCGAACAGG